rnacentral:tRNA from 1 species
AGUUAAAUCCAAAGAAAAUACUAUGUUUUGAAAACAUAAAUAAAGAGGUUUAAUUCCUCUAUUAACUU